ACCAAACAUUUCCUCUGCUUC
rnacentral:siRNA from 1 species